AAAAGCACUUUGAAAAGAGAGUGCAAGAGAACGUGAAACCGUCAUAAUGGAAGCGGAUAGAGUCGACGUAUCUAGUGCGUAUUCAGCCAUUUUCUAGGGCGAUUUGUGGGUUCGGGGUUCUGCAAAGUCCCCGGCUUGCAUUGUCGUCUUCCGAAGUGGUGCAUUUGCGUACAGAGUGCGCCGAAUCGGCUGAAUUCGCUGUUUGAGGGUUGCAAAGAGGACUAGUUCUCGGACUAGAAACCUGUGCAAUUGGAUCGCAGAUGAAUUUGGCUGUGCAGUGGGGUUGGUCUUUCGCGGCAGUGGUUGUCAGUUAAGGCUGUAUUUGUACAAUGCRUGCGUUUUGCAUUCAUGGCUUUGGCUUGUGGCUACUGUUGCUCUACCCCGUAUUCGGUGUUUAGUCGAUCACCUAUUUGACCCGUCUUGAAACACGGACCAAGGAGUUUAAGGUGUACGCAAGUCAUUGAAUGUGCAAAUUCAAAGGCGUAAUGAAAGUGGGACACUUGGUGUCUGUGGUGUGAGCUUUGUUCGUUUCGACGGACUUAGCGCAACAUCGACCCAUGACUAGGACUUGUUCUGUUGUGGAGUCUGAGCGUACGCUUUGAGACCCGAAAGAUGGUGAACUAUGCCUGAACAGGACGAAGUCAGAGGAAACUCUGAUGGAAGUCCGAAGCGGUUCUGACGUGCAAAUCGAUCGUCUGAUUUGGGUAUAGGGGCGCAAGACUAAUCGAACCAUC
rnacentral:rRNA from 1 species